UUUUUUCACUAAACAAAACUUAUAAGUUUAUACGAGCCUGGCGAAUAAAACAAAGAUGUCUAUAUAUGUUUAUUUCGAGUCUAACCAUAAGAGUAAUGUUUGGUCCUUAGGGUUUCCUAUUUUAAACCCUAAGAACACGUGCUGGUUGGACUAGUUUUAUUCACCAAUCAAAAUGCUUUUUAGAAUAAUUGGUUUAAUAAGAACAGUUUCUUUUUUUUUAAUUUCUUAAUACCUUGUUUUUUACUUCCAUUAGGGAAAUCCGAUUAUUUGGUUAGAAAUAAUUCAAGUUGAACAAUAGAAAAGAAUUAGAUGUAUUUGCUAAAGGAAAUACUUCUAAGAGUUUAAGCUGCCGAACCUUUUUUUGUAUCGCUAAGUGUCAAAUAGGAAGAAAUUCACACCAAAUACUUAUAUAUUAAAAGUAACAUAACAUCAUAGAAUUUCCAAUUAUAUCUUUUUAUACAAAAAAGCUUUAUACAAGACUUAUUCAUUUUCUACAAUUACAUGGGAA
rnacentral:lncRNA from 1 species